GACGAACGCUGGCGGCGUGCCUAAUACAUGCAAGUCGAACGAGUGGCGGACGGGUGAGUAAUGUCUGGGAACCUCCCCGAUGGGGGGGGCAACAUCCGGAAACCGGUACCUAAUACCCCUAACCUUCGAAUUUGCCCAGAUGGGAUUAGCUAGUAGGUGGGGUAACGGCUCACCUCGGCGACGAUCCCUAGCUGGUCUGAGAGGAUGACCAGCCACACUGGAACUGAGACACGGUCCAGACUCCUACGGGAGGCAGCAGUGGGGAAUAUUGCACAAUGGGCGCAAGCCUGAUGCAGCCAUGCCGCGUGUAUGAAGAAGGCCUUCGGGUGGUAAAGUACUUUCAGCGAGGAGGCGUUACUCGCAGAAGAAGCACCGGCUAACUCCGUGCCAGCAGCCGCGGUAAUAC
rnacentral:rRNA from 1 species